GGAGAAAAAUCACAAAGUUCAUUCAUCCUUCUUCUUCUCUCUUCUUUGGCCGUGGCAUUUCUUCAUCAUUUCCCUUCCGUCACAAAUUUUCAUUUCUUCACCAAAUUGAUCCAUUAGAAGCUUGUUGGAAUCAUGGGAGUUCAAGGAUCAUCAUCCCUAAGCUAGGGCAAGCAAGAGAGCAAAGCAAGAGGGUGCUAGGGCUUGAGAAAGAGAGGAGCUCAUGAGAGCUAGAACAUGAGGAGCUUGAGUAUUCAUCAAAUUUCUAAGAUAUCCAGGUUGACAGGUUAUAUGUUAGCUUGUCCGAGUAGCAUGGUGAAGCUCCGCUCUGAUUGUGACACGGGGAGAAAAGGGGUUUUGUAUAUAUAUAUAUAAAUUCCUUUAGAAAAUUACUCUGUAAUUGCUUAUGUUUUCAUAUAAGAAUUAUUCUUUGUGAAAAGUAUUGGUUUUGUAUAACUUAUAACGCAUCGUGUUGAUGCGGAGGAUUUUGUAUUUUGUGAUAUUCAAACCAGCGCUUUAUAAUCAGAUUUUCAAUUUUUCCGCUGCGUAUUUUUGAAAAAGAUUUUAUAAAGGCAGAGUUAAUUAAAUAACGGGUUUGGGUGUUACAAUAAUCUUUUUACCAUGACUCUUACAAAUAAUGAAGACAUCUUUGAUAUAUCAGGUCAUGAGAAUGACUCUGAUUGCUUUAUUGUUUCGAGUCCUGAAAGAUCUGCUCAUUCAUAUGAGAAUAUCCCGGAACCUCCAAUUGAUGAGAAUGAAGAAAUAAAUGAUGAAAGUCUGUAUAAAUGGGACCUCAUUGUCAGUAAAGCAUAUGCAAGCAGGACUAAAUCACAAGUUUUGCACAUACAACCUAAAACUGCUGAGUUAGUGCUGACUGACAAGGAGUACCUAUACAUAGAUACUCCCCAUAAAA